rnacentral:rRNA from 1 species
UACGGAGGAUGCGAGCGUUAUCCGGAUUUAUUGGGUUUAAAGGGUGCGUAGGCGGUUUGAUAAGUUAGAGGUGAAAUGUCGGGGCUCAACCCCGAAACUGCCUCUAAUACUGUUGGACUAGAGAAUAGUUGCGGUAGGCGGAAUGCGUGGUGUAGCGGUGAAAUGCAUAGAUAUCACGCAGAACUCCGAUUGCGAAGGCAGCGUACCGGCAUCCAACUGACGCUGAGGCACGAAAGCGUGGGGAUCAAACAGG